rnacentral:misc_RNA from 1 species
AAUCGGUGGCAAUGUGCUUGCCUCGGCUGCAAGAGAGCAGAUGGGCUACACCUUCAAUGCUUUGAAGUCAUAUGUCCCUGAAAUGGUGGAGCUGCUUAUUGACUGUGUUAGGAAUCCUGUUUUUCUUGACUGGGAAGUCAAUGAGCAGCUUUCAAGGGUAAAAGAUGAGAUUAUUGAAGCUUCCAACAACCCCCAUGGGCUGCUUCUGGAAGCUAUCCAUGCUGCUGGUUACUCUGG